rnacentral:rRNA from 1 species
ACGCUGGCGGCACGCCUAACACAUGCAAGUCGAACGAAGUAGCAAUACUUAGUGGCAGACGGGUGAGUAACAUGUGGGUAUCUGCCCUUUGGCCUGGAAUAACACGAGGAAACUUGUGCUAAUACCGGAUAAGUCUUUACGGAGAAAGCUUUAUGCACCAUUGGAUGAGCCCGCACUUGAUUAGUUUGUUGGUAGGGUAAUGGCUUACCAAGACUGUGAUCAAUAGCUGAUUUGAGAGGAUGAUCAGCCACAUUGGGACUGAGACACGGCCCAAACUCCUACGGGAGGCAGCAGUGGGGAAUCUUGCACAAUGGAGGAAACUCUGAUGCAGCGAUGCCGCGUGAGUGAAGAAGGCCUUUGGGUUGUAAAGCUCUUUCGUCGGGGAAGAAAAUGACUGUACCCGAAUAAGAAGGUCCGGCUAACUUCGUGCCAGCAGCCGCGGUAAUACGAAGGGACCUAGCGUAGUUCGGAAUUACUGGGCUUAAAGAGUUCGUAGGUGGUUGAAAAAGUUGGUGGUGAAAUCCCAGAGCUUAACUCUGGAACUGCCAUCAAAACUUUUCAGCUAGAGUUUGAUAGAGGAAAGCAGAAUUUCUAGUGUAGAGGUGAAAUUCGUAGAUAUUAGAAAGAAUACCAAUUGCGAAGGCAGCUUUCUGGAUCAUUACUGACACUGAGGAACGAAAGCAUGGGUAGCGAAGAGGAUUAGAUACCCUCGUAGUCCAUGCCGUAAACGAUGUGUGUUAGACGUUGGAAAUUUAUUUUCAGUGUCGCAGCGAAAGCGAUAAACACACCGCCUGGGGAGUACGACCGCA